rnacentral:rRNA from 1 species
UACGAAGGGGGCUAGCGUUGCUCGGAAUCACUGGGCGUAAAGGGCGCGUAGGCGGCCGGCCAAGUCGGGGGUGAAAGCCUGUGGCUCAACCACAGAAUGGCCCUCGAUACUGGACGGCUCGAGACCGGAAGAGGUUGGUGGAAUUGCGAGUGUAGAGGUGAAAUUCGUAGAUAUUCGCAAGAACACCGGUGGCGAAGGCGGCCAACUGGUCCGGAUCUGACGGCUGAGGCGCGAAAGCGUGGGGAGCAAACAGG